UAUGGCCAUAUCACAUUGAAACACCAGUUCUCAUACGAUCACUGAAGUUAAGCAACGUCGAUCCUGGUCAGUAACUAGAUGGGUUAUUGUUUGUGAAUAUCAGAUGCUGUGG